AUACGACCGUACCGCAAACCGACACUGGUGCGCGAGAUGAGUAUUCUAAGGCGCUUGAGAGAACUCAGGAGAAGGAACUCGGCAAAUUGACACCGUAACUUCGGAAGAAGGUGUGCCCUAUUAGUGUGUAGUGAACAACGAAGCAUGAAUGGGUUGCAAAAAAUCGGUGCUGCGACUGUUUAUUAAAAACACAGCACUCUGCAAACACGAAAGUGGACGUAUAGGGUGUGACGCCUGCCCGGUGCUGGAAGAUUAAAUGAUGGGGUGCAAGCUCUUGAUUGAAGUCCCAGUAAACGGCGGCCGUAACUAUAACGGUCCUAAGGUAGCGAAAUUCCUUGUCGGGUAAGUUCCGACCUGCACGAAUGGCGUAACGAUGGCCACACUGUCUCCUCCUGAGACUCAGCGAAGUUGAAAUGUUUGUGAUGAUGCAAUCUCCCCGCGGGAAGACGGAAAGACCCCAUGAACCUUUACUGUAGCUUUGUAUUGGACUUUGAACAGAUCUGUGUAGGAUAGGUGGGAGGCUUUGAAGCAGGGUCGCUAGAUCUUGUGGAGCCAACGUUGAAAUACCACCCUGGUGUGUUUGAGGUUCUAACCUAGGUCCAUUAUCUGGAUCGGGGACAGUGCAUGGUAGGCAGUUUGACUGGGGCGGUCUCCUCCCAAAGCGUAACGGAGGAGUUCGAAGGUACGCUAGUUACGGUCGGACAUCGUGACGAUAGUGCAAUGGCAUAAGCGUGCUUAACUGCGAGACUGACAAGUCGAGCAGAUGCGAAAGCAGGACAUAGUGAUCCGGUGGUUCUGUAUGGAAGGGCCAUCGCUCAACGGAUAAAAGGUACUCUGGGGAUAACAGGCUGAUACCGCCCAAGAGUUCAUAUCGACGGCGGUGUUUGGCACCUCGAUGUCGGCUCAUCUCAUCCUGGGGCUGUAGCCGGUCCCAAGGGUAUGGCUGUUCGCCAUUUAAAGAGGUACGUGAGCUGGGUUUAAAACGUCGUGAGACAGUUUGGUCCCUAUCUUCCGUGGGCGCUGCAGAUUUGAGGAAGCCUGCUCCUAGUACGAGAGGACCGGAGUGGACACACCUCUGGUGUAUCGGUUGUCACGCCAGUGGCAUUGCCGAGUAGCUAAGUGUGGAAGAGAUAACCGCUGAAAGCAUCUAAGCGGGAAACUCGUUUCAAGAUGAGAUCUGCCGGGGCCUUGAGCCCCCUAAAGAGUCGUUCAAGACCAGGACGUUGAUAGGUCAGGUGUGGAA
rnacentral:rRNA from 1 species